rnacentral:misc_RNA from 1 species
GCAAGGCAAAGGAAGGACACAUAGUAAUUGAACAAUUCUUCACAAGAAAUUAAUGUCUCAUUGUUUUUUGUGGAUCGAUUUCCCAAUCAAUAAAAGCUUCUCAAACAUACAUGAAAUUCUAAUCAUGAUGAACUACUUUAAUUUGAUCCUUCACUUGCCAUUCUCUCACGCAGUAUUUUAACUCCCAUAUACCUUCCAAGCAUCAUAACAGUGGCUUGAGGAUUGGUCCCAGGAGAGUUAUUAAAUGUGGAUCCAUCUAUAACCCUUAGGGCAUCCACUCCAAGAACCUUGUAAUUACUGUCAACGACGGCAUCUACUUGGCAACCUCCAUGAUAAUGCCAUAUAGUCAUUACAGUGUCCUUGCAAAAUUGUUCCAGUGACGUCGAUGUAUUGUAAUGUUUAGGUAACAAAUUUAUUGGGGAAUUUGCGGUCAUAUUCAUCAGUUGUGGGACUGAUAAAUAAUCAUAUCUAAACUUGGAGAAAGGCUUGGAAUCAAUUACUUUCUCUAUGAUUGAAAUGCCCUGCACACAUCUUUGCAAGUCUUGGGGUUCUUUGAAAUAGUUGAAUGUAACCGAUGGAUUAUCAUUAGGGUUUCGAGUUCUUAGCUCUAAAUGACCAGUGGAAAUUGGACCCAUGAUUUUUUCGAGAAUGAAGCCUCCUCUAAAAGCUGCUUGGUCAAGAUUGUUCAUUAGUUCAAUUGCUUUGGCUAUGGCUUCUGGGGUCCUUUGUUUUGGUGGCACUGUUGAGAGCUGACCAAUCUUAGGAGAGAACAUCCCAUAGUCUCUCGGAGAGCCACCGGCGAAGUUUGCACCACUUGCAGCUUCAAUGUAGCUUCCAAAGUGCGUGAUGCCGACGACUUCAAUCAGCGAAACCUCCACGGGAAUCGGCGAUGGGAUGAAAACGGCAUUCAUGGGGUUAUCGGACAUAAGUUGGCCAACCAUGGGCUGAUCCAAUACUACUGUAAUAUUGUGAGCCUUAAGUUGGGCUUGGGGGCCCACUCCACUUAGCAUCAAGAGCUGGGGACUUCCUAGUGAACCAGCUGAUAUGAUGAUUUCAUUUUUGGACCCUUUCUUUAAAUAAGCUCUGUGUUUAGCCCCUGAUGCAUCUCUAAACACCACUCCAUGGGCGACUGGUCUUGGUUUUCCUUUAGUUCUAAACAAGAUCUUAUGUACAGUAGCAUGCAAAAGAACAGUAAGUCCACUUGGGUUGGCUUGCUCCAACAAAUCGGCGGCAGUGUGCCUAUGCCCAUCUCUAUCAAAUAUUGUCCCACCAACCUUAGUCCCAUACAUAUGGUCGUACGUGAACCCAUUGUUGGGCACCACCCCAACCUCCACCAGCCCAUCCCUUACAGCCGAUUGCCACUGCCCCAUUUCAGGCUGGAAAGCAACUUGUUGCUCCACCCACUGGUAUGACUCAUUCACAAGCCGUCCAUCCCACCCCACAUCCCUGGCAUCAUAAGUUAAUUAGUCCUAUAAUGUCAAACUACUAUGCACAUCGAAGAUUCUUAAAGUGAAUUUUGCUUCGACGGUUUGAAACAUGAACCCUCAUUAAAGCUAAUUCUUGAGGCAACUGCUGCACGUACCUUACAUAGUCGGUACUAGCACGGGUGUAGAAGCCAGCAUUAAGGCAACUGCCUCCGCCCAGAACCCUCGCACGGGCAUUGAUGACGCCGUCUUCAGAGAUGAAGCGUUGAGAUGGGGAAGUAGGGGAGAGAUCAGAUAAUGCAGCACCGAAGUUGGCCAAGUUGAUUAUGUCAGGGUUGCCAUAGGGAGAGCCGCCACGUUCGAGGAGCAAAACGGAGGUGUUUUGGGAGAGAGAGGUGGCUAACGGGCAGCCAGCGGUGCCGCCACCUACAAUGAUGUAGUCAUAGUAGGAUAUUUCUGGAGCCAAAGUUGCAUUGUGCAUGAAAGAGUAAUCUUUAUCAGAGACACAGAAGCCAUGGAAAAGGACAAGUGCAAGUAAAGAAACACCUGCCAAGAAUCUACACAGUCCAAUGAGACCCAUUUUCUGAAAUGAAGAGAACUCCAUGAAGGGGAUACCGUGGUGAAUUGUUGUAGUACAAAAGAAGAAGAACCAAAGCUUUGGUUAUAUGUGUUAGAGACUCAACAAUUUCGACGGCUAUAACUUCUGUAGGUGCAAAGAUUUCUUGCUCGUAUAGUCGGCGAUAAAAGCCCAGAGAAUGUGAUAACGAUUAAGCUUUUAUAAUGCUUGAUCACCGAGAUUCAAGAAAUGAAGAAAAUGCGUGUGGUACCUACAUAGAAUGAAGUAGAUGCUUGGACGGGCGUCUUGGUUAAUUCAUAAAUGAAUCUUUAUGUACAAAUGAGAGAGAGUUGGAGGAGGUGGAGGUGGAGCCAUGGAGGAAGAAGGGAAGCAGUUAGAUACCUACGCUUGCUCAUUAAUGC